UACGAAGGGGGCUGGCGUUGUUCGGAAUUACUGGGCGUAAAGGGCGCGUAGGUGGCCUCUUCAGUCAGACGUGAAAUCCCCAGGCUUAACCUGGGAACUGCGUCUGAUACUGGAAGGCUUGAGUUCGGGAGAGGGAUGUGGAAUUCCAGGUGUAGCGGUGAAAUGCGUAGAUAUCUGGAGGAACACCGGUGGCGAAGGCGGCAUCCUGGACCGAAACUGACACUGAGGCGCGAAAGCCAGGGGAGCAAACGGG
rnacentral:rRNA from 1 species